UUUAGAACAAGUAUUUCAAUGAAGUCCAGAAGUAAGACAGUUUGGCUAAUUUUCUCGGUGUUUCUUUUCUACCAUGACUUUGCAGUCGUGGCGAUAAAUUUACGGGAAAAUCGAUAUCAAUGGAUGUACAGAAAAACUUCCAACCGAG